UUCGUCUGCCUGGUCUCGGUUUCUUCAGACUUCGGUUUGGUUUGGCAUGGUAUGGUAUGGUAUGGUUUCUCAUGACUGUGGACCAAAUCCCAGGCCAUGCCUUCUUCAAACCCUAGCCAAACCUCUCGCCAUCGCCAUCUCCCCGUUGUAGCUCUCUGCAUCGCCCCCGCCAGCAUCCCGUUGCUGAUGUGCUUGUACUUGCGCACUUCCAUGGCCGCGGUUCAAGCUAUUUUUUCCAGAGUAAAUUGCACGUCGUUCGCCAAUACCACCAGUCCCAUCCAGUGCAUCCAUUCGCCCCCGCCAGGUAACCUAAUCCGGUGUUGAGAGGGCGCCCAAGUGCUGUGUACAUAAUUCAUUUCUGGAGAAUGGAAGGCGAUAUUGAAUGGUUUUCUGCACACCCUAGAUAGCAGGCAAUGGUUGAGGCACGGCCCAUAGCAAGCGUGACAGAUACAGCAAUUAUAACAUCUACUGCAUGCCUGAUCUGGUGGAGUUAGAUGAUGCAUGGUCAGGGAGAGGACUUGGAGCACGUGACAAUAUUUUGAGGAUCGAGCUGAAGGGGAUGAGCUAGCGAAGUCUGUGGCACCGUUGUGGUGCCGUGGCGAAACGAUGGCAUCCAUACAGAGGUUGGAUCUUACGAAAUUGAGCAGUCCCGAUGUAGGUCUGCACAAUGCUGGCGGGGGUUCGCACCGGAACUUCGGUGUAAGUUUAGAUAAGUCUCACAGUUUUCGAGAUGGUCACGAGGCUCGGGUGACGGGUGGGAACGGGCCAUCCAGCUCCCGCAGGGAGGCUCCGGCUCUGACGAGCGUGCUGUUUCUAAAUUAAAUUUUAUUCUUUUAUAAUAAGAAAUUUUUUGACUCUUUA